rnacentral:lncRNA from 1 species
CUAAACUGAACUUUUCCCUUCAGUCAACAUUAGGGUUUUAAACCCUAAACUGAACUCUUUCCUUUAGUCAGCAUUAGGGUUUUAAACCCUAAACAGAAUUUUUCCCUUCAGUCAGCAUUAGGGUUUUAAACCCUAAACUGAACUCUUUUCUUCAGUCAGCAUUAGGGUUUUAAACCCUAAACUGAACUUUUUCAUCUCAGUCAGCAUUAGGGUUUUAAACCCUAAAUUGAACUUUUUCCUUUAGUCAGCAUUAGGGGUUUAAACCCUAAACUGAACUCUUUCCUUUAGUCAGCAUUAGGGUUUUAAACCCUAAACUGAACUUUUUCCAUUCAGUCAGCAUUAGGGUUUUAAACCCUAAACUGAACUUUUUCCUUUAAUCAGCAUUAGGGUUUUAAACCCUAAACUGAAAUUUUCCAUUCAGUCAGCAUUAGGGUUUUUAACCCUAAACUGAACUUUUUCCAUUCAGUCAGCAUUAGGGGUUUUAAACCCUAAACUGAACUUUUUUCUUUAAUCAGCAUUAGGUUUUUAAACCCUAUACUGAACUUUUCCAUUCAGUCAGCAUUAGGGUUUUAAACCCUAAACUGAACUCUUUUCUCAGUCAGCAUUAGGGUUUUAAACCCUAAACUGAACUUUUUCCCUUUAGUCAGCAUUAGGGUUUUAAACCCUAAACUGAACUCUUUCCUUCAGUCAACAUUAGGGUUUUACACCCUAAACUGAACUUUUUCCAUUCAGUCAGCAUUAGGGUUUUAAACCCUAAACUGAACUCUUUCCUUUCAGUCAGCAUUAGGGUUUUAAACCCUAAACUGAACUUUUCCUUUAGUCAGCAUUAGGGUUUUAAACCCUAAACUGAACUUUUUCCAUUCAGUCAGCAUUAGGGUUUUAAACCCUAAUCUGAACUUUUUCCUUUAAUCAGCAUUAGAGUUUUAAACCCUAAACUGAAAUUUUCCAUUCAGUCAGC